rnacentral:misc_RNA from 1 species
ACUACGGGGGUAUCUAAUCCUGUUUGCUCCCACGCUUUCGUGCAUGAGCGUAGUGUUAUCCCGGAGGCUGCCUUCGCCAUCGGUGUUCCUCCGCAUAUCUACGCAUUUCCUGCUACACGCGGAAUUCCACCUCCCUCGACGCACUCUAAGCUCGGUAGUUAAAAAUGCGGUUCCAAAGUUCAGCUCUGAGUUCCAUCUUUCUUUCCGAACCCAUAACGCACACUUCACCAAUGCCUUCGAUUGUGCACCUACGUAUUGCGGCUGCUGGCACGUGGUCGCCCAGGUGCUUAUUCUGCAGGUAUAAUCCAAUUGAGGUAGUAUCCGUGCCGUUCUUCCUGCAAAAGUGCUUUACAGCUCCCGAGGCCUUCAUCGCACUUGGAUGGCUGGAUCGGGUUUCCCCUGUUGUCAAAAUUCCCCACUGCUGCGCCCCGUA